rnacentral:misc_RNA from 1 species
CAAGGGCCAGAAGCAUGCUAACCUCAAGGUUGUUGUGGUACAAGGAAAUAGGACCAGCCUAUUGGGACGGGACUGGUUGAAAGCUGUCAAGUUAGACUGGAAGGAAGUGUGUGCUGUUGAGAAUGUGUCAGUAGCGGCGUUGAGAAGGAAGUAUGCGGAAGUGUUUGAACCAGGUCUGGGGGAGUUGAAGGAUGUGAAGCUCCGCCUGAACAUUGACCGAAGUGUGCAGCCCAAGUUUUUCAGAGCUCGUUCCAUGCCAUACGCCUACAAGGAAAAGGUGGAGAAGCAGCUGCAAAAGGACGUAGAGUCUGGUGUACUUGAACAGGUAACGCACAGCAGGUGGGCCGCUCCGCUAGUUCCUGUCUUGAAAAAGGAUGGCACUGUCAGAGUAUGUGCUAACUUAAAGCUGACUGCAAAUAAGGCUGUGAAGUGUGACACAUAUCCGCUUCCGCGCGCGCAGGAUAUUUUCGCGCAGCUUGCUGGGGGACGAGUCUUCACUACGCUGGAUCUAGCACAGGCGUAUAACCAGGUCAUUGUGCAUGAAGACUCGCGCGAUGUACUGACGGUGAACACGCCGAAGGGGUUGAUGCGUUACUCUCGUCUGCCUUUUGGGCUCAAUUCGGCGGUCAGUCUGUUCCAGAGGGAGAUUGAGCGGGUGCUUCGUGACUUACCUGGUGUGGUGGCUUACCUGGACGACAUCCUGAUCUCCAGCAGAACGACGGAGGAGCAUCUGAAGACGCUGGACGACGUCCUCGGAAGACUGAAGAGAGCCGGGUUGAAGGUGAGACCAGCCAAGUGUAGAUUCUUGGUGCCCAGUGUCGAGUACUUGGGUCACAUCGUUGACAAGGACGGCAUCAGGCCGACACCAGCCAAGGUGCGAGCCAUACAGUCAGCGCCAGAACCGAAGAACGUUAAGCAGCUGAAGUCGUUCCUGGGAAUUCUGACGUAUUAUUCCAGAUAUAUUCCAGACCGCAGUCAGAAGCUGGCGCCACUUCAUCUCCUCCUGCAGAAGGACGUGGCAUGGCGCUGGGGUGCAGAGCAGGCUGCCAGCUUCCAGUGGGCUCGUGACGUCCUCUCGUCUGGCUCCGUGUUGGGUCACUUCGACAUCAACAAACGCAGGGCACGUGAAGCAGUCUUGAAGGAGCUGCAUGUGGCGCACCCUGGCAUCCGCCGCAUGAAGGCUCUGGCGAGAGGCUGUGUCUGGUGGCCUCAACUGGACCAGCAUAUUGAGCACAUCGUGAACUCCUGUCAAGCCUGCCAGGAAAGCCGACCUGCACCGGGACGUUCUCCAAUCUGCAUGUGGCCGUGGCCUGAGCGGGCAUGGUCGAGGAUCCACGUGGACUUCGCUGAGCCGAAGAAGGGAAGCGUAUCACCCCGCACAGCACAACUUCCGUAGCCCCCUCAGAGCUGAUGGUGGGGCGUGUCCUCCGAAGUCGCCUGGACCUUCUGCACCCGGACCUGCGAACUGAGGUGAAGAAACAACAGGUGAUCCAAAAGGAAAACCACGAUGCUAAGGACGUUCUGCGCUGACUUCGGAGCCCGGUGACAUUCCUGCGGAAGGAGGGCAGCCAUCUCGGAAUCCGACGGCGGCGCUGCAGCCGUCUCGUCCGGGGGAGUCUGGCUUGGACGCGUCGCUGCCGCCGUUCAGCACACCUGGAGCGGCGCCUAGCGCUCCAGCAGCAUCGCCAUCAUCUUCGGCGCCUGCUCCGUCGGAGCCCCGGCCUGAGGCAUCAGAGCUCGAGCCCGCGUGUGUCGCCGGCGACGCUGGUGCACGGACGGAAACCCCACUGCGUUCGGGGCUCGGAGUGGAGGCUGGUGCAGGUGUACAGUCUCGUGUGUUGGACGAGGGUGGUGGUGUUCGUCGCGGAACUAGAGUGAGAAAGCAGACUAAGUUUUUUGGUUCCUAGCUCUGUUCAUAUUACUUGUGUUUUGUGAGGGGGCAGUGUAGUGAACUAUGGUUCACGCCUCCCCCCACCUGUGGCCUGAGUGCGCCGCUGCGCCUCCCUUAUCGGCCGUCCCUGUAUCCGUCCCUGCGCGGUGUCCGUCCCUGCGUGUCGCGGCGCAUGUGCCUCGGGCGGUUUUGUGUGGCCUGGCGCGGCGGCCGGUCGGCCGGCCGCGCGGCAGUCUGCAGCUGGACCCAAUACAGCAAGGAGCUCG